UUUUAUAAAUUUCAAAAGUUACAAAUCUCAUAACUUGAAAAAAGUAUCAUAUUCAGCCAAAGCAAAAAAUACGUGUUAAUUGUUUUUAGCUAAAGAAUGCAUAAAAAAUUUGGAAGGAAUUCAAAUUUUGGUUGUAAAUCUAACGGGAGAUGACCCAUAUAACCAUUUUUGUGAUAAGUUGUAAUUAUGAGAUGGAUCGAAUAUUGUUAUUCUCCCUAGUAUAAAAUGUGUUGAGGGGAGUAAGUGCGUUCAACCCUAGGGGCAGAUCACUUGUGAUGCAUUUUUAAAAAUCAGCGAAAUUAAAUGCAUUUAUUUCCAUCAAAAUAGAAAUUAGAAAUUCAUAAUGUAUUUUGCGUUGCGGGCAAUGUUGUUUGCGUUGCAUCAGAGAAGAGAAAUACCACUUAGAACAAAAAAAAUCACGAAAGUUCUCACAAAAGCGAAUCGGAUUUGUUGCUGGUUUUCCUUGCUUUGAUUUGAGAGUGCACCCGUAUGACGUUUCAACUCAAGAUGGGAGAAAGGUGGGAACAUUUGACACUUUUGAGUGUAUUAGUUUAAUAUAUGCAAAAUUAAGCAUGGCGGCCGGGGCCCUUGAAGUGAACGAACGAGCAUCCUGAUUCUUUGACGCACGAUGAAAAGUGAGAAAAAGCCGAGCUUCACCUCGGAUCUGCCUAUUAGAACACUUAGGGACACUUUUUACUUCGAAAAAACCGAAUAAAUUAACUAUGACCGAACCGAAAGAAAACUUAUGGCAACAGAAAGGCCCACUACGUCAUUUGUUUGAGCUUUUCUUCUUCAUAUCCUCUUGUUUUUUCGGCUUCAUCAAAGAAAAAUGACAACCGCACUCACACACAGAAAAAAAAUGUGCACACCUGUAACCGUCUUGGUUUCAACUAGUAUAAAUUUUAAGGGCCCAGAUAAGCUGAAAUUCCGUUCCGAUGCCGUUCCGUUUUGACGUUGUGGAUCGCAGUGGAACUUAUGUUCAACCCUGUGCAUAUGUCUAAACCAGAGCAAAACAAAUCGAUCAUCUCUUUUUCUCCUAUCAAUUUUUCUUUCGUGUGUCAUCAUACGUUGCGUUACCAGUCAGAAAGAGAUAAAAAACUUUGUUUACAUAUAGUAUUAAAAGCAGCAAACGAAAAUUUCAAUCACAUUUUAAAUCUUUCUGCAAUUAAAAAUAUAUAUUAGCAAAAGUUUUUCACUACAAUCGGAGCAUAAAAAAGUUCCGGAAGUGCUUGUGGAGUUUUGUUGUUGUUUUUCCGAAUAUUGAAGGCUCUUUUGUAUGGCAAUACAAAUUACGAAAUUACAACGAGUGAAACGUGUUAGCAUCUUUGAUACACAGCUGCUAUUUGGACCAGCGAUCAUGCAGUUUUGAAGGCUACACGUGGAAAUGGAUACCCUCGAUACGAGAUUUCAACGUGCCAUAAUGCGAUUUGGAGCUGGCUGAUAACUAUUCGACUAAAACUAUAUAAGGAAUAGACAAACGAAUGAAAUAUCA